UCCCGCUUUCUCCCUGGACUCACCUGUUUAUUUCCAUCGCUCAGAGCUCUGGGUUUUUUGUUUUGUUUUGUUUGUUUUUAAGCGUGGGCCAGGGGGGCUGGGUUUGUUAUUAUUAUUAGCAAGAUUAUUGGGGAGGUGAGAGGGUGUUGCUGUAAUCGAUGCUGGUCCAGGUCGGUUUUCAGGGAGGGGGAGGGGACUUGGCGGAGACCCUGGCUCCUGGCCGCAGCUGACCCCGGGGCUCCUCCCCUCCUUCCCGGUGAGGAAUCCUUUCCCUUGCUCCGUCCGUCCGCGUAGCCAGCUGCCACCUUCCUGGAGAAAGACCACACCUAUGCUUCUUCCCGCUUUGGAGGCGAGUCCUUCACUCCACGGGCACCUUUGAAGGGAGUGAUGCCCCUGCCGGACAUGGUGACUGACAGGCUGCCCUGGCUCAGUUAUCACAGUGCUGAUGCUGUCCAUUCUAAAGGUACAGUACUGUGAUAACUGAAGGAUGGCAGCCAUCUUGCCUUCCGGUCAAGAAGUCUCAUCACCGAAGACGGAAGAAGAAUGGGAAGGCGCACCCGGGACAGGACCAGACACUUCACAGCACUGCUGUGUUGACCUCUUCCAGGCUCCAGUUGGCACUGGGAAGGAGAAAAACGGAGUAGUUUGCAUGGGAUGUGAAUACCAUUGUGCCGAGUAGAUAGAAGGUCUGUGAACCUUUGAGUCUUUGGAAGUCCUAAGGACAAAUCAAUAUAUCUAGAGUGGUAUUGAGAGAAAUGAGCCAUUUUAUAAAUGAAAAGGGUAGCUUUUUAAGAGCUUCACACUUAGCCCUACACUGUUAGAUGUUCCAAGUUAAAUAGGGAGAAGGUUAGUGUUGGGUGUCAAACAGUAUUGAUGUCACAUGAAUAAAAUUACACCCAUGCUUAAGGAAUGGAGAGUGAUGUGGCUUUUCAAAAAAAAAAAUUCAUUAUAGAAUGUCACUUCUACAUGAAAAUAAAUUAUUUGAUUCUAUUAAGUAAAUAAGCAGCGUUCCGCACGGCAGCACAGAUCCACUUCAGGGAUAUGAAGUUAGAGGUGCCAGCCCGUGUCAAUAGUUGCAGGAAAACCUAGCACCUUAAGAGCAUGCGUUUUCAGUCUUCAUCUUAAAAAGUACCAUGCGUGGGGGCUGUGAAGAUGGUUGUGUCACUAACGUGCGGGUGCAGGCAUGAGGUCCUAGCACCCGUCUGAAAACCCAGGCAGGGUAACAUGCAUUUGUAGUGCCUGUUCCGGAUGGUGGAGGCAGACAGAUCCUUGGGGCUUCCUGGACAACCAGUCUCCCUGAAUCCCCAAGUCAUAGUGAGAAACCUCAGCAAACAAGGUGGGCAGCUCCUGAGGAGGAACACUUGAGGUCUACCCUGCCUUCUCCGUGCACACACACAAGGGCAUGUGCAUGUCGACAUGCACGUAUAUGCAGGAAAUAUAACUGGAAUAGAGUGGGGCUCUUAGAGAACCGGGGAUUUAUCAUAGUCUCUCUGUCAAUCAUCCCUCUUCCUAAGGACACUGAAUACAACAAGCCAGUGAGUCACAGUUGGUGACAUUGUUUGGUCACAGUUCACUGCAGGGCCCAGGUAAUCACAUGGAAUGCGUUUUUUAGGCUCGAAGGUUAAUCAGGGUCCUGUUCCCUCUUCAGAGGCUAACAUGUUUGACUGGGAACCGUACUCCCUGUAGAUGGCUGAGUAGUGAAGGAACUCAGGCAGUGACUUAUAUAGAGUCAGGUCCCAUCUGAACUUACCUACAAUAAGGACCCAGUUGGGCCAGGGAGGGCAAAACCACAUUUGACUGUUUAGCAGGUACUGAACAUUGUCACUGAGUGUCUUAGACCGUUCCUCUACCAGGACAGAAUGGGAGCCAUCACUCUCUCUCUGCUGGCUUAGUUUCUUUCUUCUUUCACUUCUGCAUCCAAAAAGAAGCCAGAGAGAUCCCCUUGGUCACACCUGCUUGGCCAGAAACACACUGACCGCGUUCACAGCCAGUACUUGAAGUGUUUUCACACUCACCAUUUCUCAUAAACUGUGAGCUAGGCUGCUCUUGAUCAGUGAUAGAGAGGGAGGGCCCCUCUUGAAAUUCCUUUGAAAGGAACUUUUGACAGAAACCCUGAAUGAACUCGAGAAAGUUUCGGGAUUGGUGAGUCUUCCAGUAAUUUGAAACAGUCGUAAAUGUCAGUGUUUGAGCAGGUGGAAAAAAGGCUGGAGGAAGGACUGCUUUUGUAAUCCUUGGCUCUCGUGUGGCUUUCAGCACCUCCUGGCCUUCCUGUUUUCUCUCGUACUGGUUUUACAGAAAUUCAUCAGGUUUUUUACUUGCCCGAGCUUGACCUCAGAAGCCACAUUCCUGUGCUUCGGAAGUUGCAGUUGUCUCGCUCCUUUGCCGUUGAUAUAAUAAAAUACCCUGGCAAAAGCAAAUUCAGGGAGAAAGGAGUUGUUUCAUUUUAUUAAAGAUUUAUUUAAUAAAAAGCCAUUUAUUUUUAUGUGCAUUGGAGUUUCACGUGUAUGUCUGUGAGAUGGUGCCAGAUCCUCUAGAACUGGAGUUACAGACAGCUAUGAGCUACCAUCUGGGUGCAGGGAAUUGAACCCGGGUCCUUUGGGAGAACAGUCAGUGCUCUUCACCACUGAGCCAUCUCCUCAGCCCCCAGAAGCAGUUCUAGAUUAUAGUCCCAUCAUAGCAGGGAAGCCAAGGCCUCAGGAGCUUGAAGCAGCUGGCCACAUUCUGUACAUAGUCAGAAGGAGAGCCAUGAGUGUAUACACACUAGUGUUCAGCUUGCUUCUUCCCAUUACACCAUCCGGGAUUCACUGCCUAGGGAAUGGUGCCAGCCACAGUGGGCUCUUUCAUUUUAAUUAAUGCAGUCAAAAUCUACCCCUGUCCUCAGGCAUGCCCAGAAGUCGUCACUCAGGUGAUUCUAGGUUGUGUCAGAUUUACAAAACUAUCACAACAAAUUGCCUGUGAUUUAGACAGGAGUCAAGCUGGGCCAGAAGUGAGGCAGUGGCUCCAGAAGCCCUUCCAGGCCUAGGGUCUUUGAAAAGUUGGGGGUCUCCAAAAAGCUGGGUGAGGUGUAUACCUGUAAUCUCUUAGGAGGCAGAAGCAUGAGGAUUACCCAGGAGUUCAAAGCCAGAUUGGUCUAUGUGAGCCUGGUCUACACAGUGCCAGGCCAGCCAGAGUUACAUAGUAAGAUCCUAUCUCAACAAGAAGGACACUCCUAAGUAGUUUUUAGGUGUAAGGCAGAUGAGUUUGAUCCAGUUCCAUGAGAAGUUUCUGGGAUGCACAGCCUGUUACUUAGAUUUGGUUGAUAUAUUCAUUAAAUAUCUGUACACGUCCAAAGGAAGCGAAAAGAAGGGGCUGAGGGAGGUCCUUGCAUAUCCAUAUUUGUGGCAUUUGAAGAUACAAUGCUAAGUGAAGGCAGGCACAACUGUUGGAACAGAUACUGUAUGAUUGGUACAUUUGAGGAUCCUAGAAAAGGUUACUGUUACCAGAGUGGCUCAUUUGAGGAUCCUAGAAAAGGUUAUUGUUACCAGAGUCUAGAGCAGGGAGGAAGUGAGGAAUUUGUACUUUAGGCAUACAAAGUUUCAUUUGAGAAGGAGGAUGCAGUUCUGGAGGUGAAUGGUGAUGGUUGCCCAACGUGCAUGAACUUAACCACCCACAGGACUGGCUACCUAAAAUGAUAAAUUUUAUGUAUAUCAACAAUAAAACAUUUAGGACGAUGAUGCUGUUGAAUGUCCAGUAAUAAGACUGUGGCAUACUGCCUCAAUUUUCAUUGCAAAGAUACCAGCAGUACUGUUCCAAGUAAGCAGUUAAAAUGAGUUGCCACGUCGUUUUGUGUUUAAAGUUCUCAAAUCUGUAGCCCCUUGGGUGUAUUUCCAGACGUAAGGUGGCAUUAGUUUAGUGAAAGAGAAAAACAGGAGUACUAAAACAAUGAAAAAAGGCCCUGUACAAGAAGUCUGUUUCUGGCGGCCUCUUCUGCUGGUAAAAGUGAGCAGUACUGGUUUUCAGGCAGUCUCUGGCUUGGAUAAAAAUUACAUCCAUCCCUUGGGCCAUCGAGAUGGCUCAGUGAGUAAAGGUGCUUGACAAGCCUUGUUCAGUCCUCAAAACCCUUGCAAAGGUGCAAAGAAAAACCAACUACAGAGUUGUCCUCUGACCCUUGCUUGUUUGCCCCAGACCCACAUCAUCUACUUUAAUAAUUAAUGGGGAAAUUAAAUUAUAUUCCUCUCCAAAGUAAUGAAGUGUAGCAUGUUAUUUCUUAGGACAUAAACAUUCAGCAUCCAUGUCUGAGGUGGUAGCAUAUUGUUUUAUUUGAAUGUUUUGGUAAUUCAGUUUUAACAAACCUCAGAUAUGACCAGUUCAUUGAAGGGUCAUUCUCUUCUUGCUCUCUAUCAUUCGAGAAUGGCUUUCCUAUUUUAAAAAAUGUUAAUUUUGAAAAGGAGAAUAAAACACAAGACUGGAAAGAGCAAAAAAA